rnacentral:lncRNA from 1 species
AAAUAUGAAAAUAUAAGAAAGAAAAGAUAUACAAACAGCGCUGAUUUCUUCAUUUGGAUGCUUUAAUUUGUUACUACCUCCGUUCCUAAAAGAUUGUCGUUUAAGAUUUUGGCACAUGGAUUAAGAAAGUAUCAUUUACCAAGUAAAAUUUAUUUGAAAUUCCAUCACUAUCCCUUUAUGGGAAGUUGAAAACUAUUAAUACAAGGGAGAGAAUUUCUUGGGACAAUGAGAGAAGGUAGGGG